CGCUGGUGUACCAGUUGUCUCGCCAGAGGCAUCGCUGGGUAGCUAUGUAGGGAAGGGAUAAACGCUGAAAGCAUCUAAGUGUGAAGCCCACCUCAAGAUGAGAUUUCCCAUUUCUUUAAGAAAGUAAGAUCCCUGAGAGAUGAUCAGGUAGAUAGGUCAGAAGUGGAAGGCCAGUGAUGGUUGGAGCGGACUGAUACUAAUCGAUCGAGGACUUAACCAAAAA
rnacentral:rRNA from 1 species